rnacentral:rRNA from 1 species
GACGAACGCUGGCGGCGUGCUUAACACAUGCAAGUCGUACGGUAAGGCCCUUUCGGGGGUCCACAAGUGGCGAACGGGUGAGUAACACGUGAGUAACCUGCCCACAACUUUGGGAUAACGCUAGGAAACUGGUGCUAAUACUGGAUAUGUGCCCCUGCUGCAUGGUGGGGGUUGGAAAGCUCCGGCGGUUGUGGAUGGACUCGCGGCCUAUCAGCUUGUUGGUGGGGUAGUGGCCUACCAAGGCGGCGACGGGUAGCCGGCCUGAGAGGGUGACCGGCCACAUUGGGACUGAGAUACGGCCCAGACUCCUACGGGAGGCAGCAGUGGGGAAUAUUGCACAAUGGGCGCAAGCCUGAUGCAGCAACGCCGCGUGCGGGAUGACGGCCUUCGGGUUGUAAACCGCUUUCAGCAGGGACGAAGCUUUUUGUGACGGUACCUGCAGAAGAAGCACCGGCUAACUACGUG